rnacentral:rRNA from 3 species
UACGGAGGGGGCUAGCGUUGUUCGGAAUGACUGGGCGUAAAGCGCGCGUAGGCGGAUUGGCAAGUUGGGGGUGAAAUCCCGGGGCUCAACCUCGGAAUGGCCUUCAAGACUGCCGGUCUUGAGUUCGAGAGAGGUGAGUGGAAUUCCGAGUGUAGAGGUGAAAUUCGUAGAUAUUCGGAGGAACACCAGUGGCGAAGGCGGCUCACUGGCUCGACACUGACGCUGAGGUGCGAAAGCGUGGGGAGCAAACAGG